rnacentral:rRNA from 1 species
GACGAACCACACAAACGUUAUUCGGAAUUACUGGGCUUAAAGGGUGCGUAGGCGGCGCGGAAAGUUGGGUGUGAAAUCCCUCGGCUCAACCGAGGAACUGCGCUCGAUACUACCGUGCUCGAGGGAGACAGAGGUGAGCGGAACUUAGGGUGGAGCGGUGAAAUGCGUUGAUAUCCUAAGGAACACCCGUGGCGAAAGCGGUUCACUGGGUCUCUUCUGACGCUGAGGCACGAAAGCUAGGGUAGCGAACGGG